rnacentral:tRNA from 1 species
GGGGUUGUGGCUCAGUGGUAGAGCACAAAACUUGUGCUGUGAGGCACUGGGUUAGAACCUCAGUACCACA